UAGGGAAUCUUCCACAAUGGACGAAGUCUGAUGGAGCAACGCCGCGUGAGUGAAGAAGGUUUUCGGAUCGUAAAGCUCUGUUGUUGGUGAAGAAGGAUAGAGGCAGUAACUGGUCUUUAUUUGACGGUAAUCAACCAGAAAGUCACGGCUAACUACGUGCCAA
rnacentral:rRNA from 1 species